rnacentral:rRNA from 1 species
GAUCAUGGCUCAGGAUGAACGCUAGCUACAGGCUUAACACAUGCAAGUCGAGGGCAGCAUGAACUUAGCUUGCUAAGUUUGAUGGCGACCGGCGCACGGGUGAGUAACACGUAUCCAACCUGCCGAUGACUCGGGGAGUAGCCUUUCGAAAGAAAAGAUUAAUACCGAUGGCAUAGUUCUUCCGCAUGGUGGAACUAUUAAAGAAUUUCGGUCAUACGAUGGGGAUGCGUUCCAUUAGG